rnacentral:rRNA from 1 species
UGGGGAAUAUUGGGCAAUGGGCGCAAGCCUGACCCAGCAACGCCGCGUGAGGGAAGAAGGCUUUCGGGUUGUAAACCUCUGUCCUUGGUGACGAAAUAAAUGACGGUAGCCAAGGAGGAAGCCCCGGCUAACUACGUGCCAGCAGCCGCGGUAAUACGUAGGGGGCGAGCGUUGUCCGGAAUUACUGGGCGUAAAGGGUGCGUAGGUGGCCUCUUAAGUUGGAUGUGAAAUACCCGGGCUUAACCUGGGGGGUGCAUCUAAUACUGGGAGGCUAGAGUGCAGGAGAGGAAAGCGGAAUUCCUAGUGUAGCGGUGAAAUGCGUAGAUAUUAGGAGGAACACCAGUGGCGAAGGCGGCUCUCUGGACUGUAACUGACACUGAGGCACGAAAGCGUGGGGAGCAAACAG